UGAAAAUGGAAGUCAGUUUUAUUUCAUUAAGUAAUGUGUUUAAGAAUUUGGCUGAAAUUUAUUUUUUCUGAUAGGCCAUGGCCAGAAAUUUGCUGUUGGAAUUGCAUUGUUGUUGAAAAUCCAUCUCAAAAGCCAUUUUUGAAAGAUCGCCGCCACAAUUCAGGAAGGUGACGUAGCAGUAUCAGUUAUACACUGAAGAAUGGAAAGAAUUUUGCAAAACUAUAACGGAACUUUUAGAAGAGAUACACUGUCACUCUAAGGAUUAUUUUCAAUACCAUCAUCCCGAUAAUCACAAAUGGAAUUGGAGUAUGGGGCUGCAGGGCAGAUGAACCAAUAUGACUUGAGACAGAAAUUAGACACAUUGCAGAGAAGUGAGAUCUCGCCAUCACCAAAGCCUUCCGAAUUGUCUUAACUAAAAUGGUGAAGGUGCCUAAAUAAUGAUAUGUAAUAACUGAAUUGCAGUGUCAAAUGUAUAAGCCAUUGACUUCAAGAAAUUCAUCAAGAGCACAUUGUUUUUAUUAUUCAUGAUAUAAAAUUGUUGAUGAAUUUUGUAAACAGCCUUAUUUAAUCCUGCAAACCGUUCCCUGCAAAAUCCUGUUCCCAUUAAACUAUAUAGCUAUUUUUCAACUUUUAGUUAAUUAAUUAUUUUAUAAGUUUUAAAUAAGAUUAUUUUAUUAAAAACUUUUUAAUAUUUAAAUCAUACCUGCAUAAAUGUUUAGUGUUUAUCUGUGUACAAGUGAUUUAUUUCAAACAAAUGAUAAAUGAAAUAAUCAUUUUGUUUUUUCUUCAGCUUCUAAAAAUAAAUAGAAAAACAGCCAAUAGACUAAUUUCAAUGCUAUAUGCAACUGUGAAGCAAAAUGAACAAAACACAUUACUUAAACACUAAUAAGAAAUCUGUUUAUUUUCUUGAGCAAAGAAAAAAAAAUAACACAUGCACAUAGGAAAAAUGAUAAACCUAACGAUAAAUGACAAAACAAACACAGAAUCAAUGGUCCAUUGUAAUGUAAAUGACAAGACUCCAGAAUUAGUAAAAAUAUGUCCUGCUCUUGAAGGAAAACUCAACAACAGCUUUUAGGUCCCACUGCAACAAAGGUUUUAAAUUUGUUUGCUAAAUUCAAGAGGAGGUAACAUCAGCUGCUAGAUGCUGCAGCUACAUAAAAAUUACAUACUUCACUAUAACUCAAAUUCAGCAAGAUAAAAAUUCAUUAUACAGACAAACACAAGAGAAUAAAUAUUUGAAAUUAAUAAAUAAUAUUUAGAAGACUUCUGACUAAUGGUAAAAAACUUCUUUUAAAUACAAUUAUGAGAUAUAUUACAAAACACGCAUUAUUUAGGUUAUAAAAGUAUGAGCUAAAAAAAUAUAUAUGUUCUUAUAAGUAAUUUAACAUUGAUGCAUAUAUACAUAUAAUAUAUGCAAUAGAAUGUUCAUAUGAAAUAUGAACUACACAAUAUGAAUAUUAAUAUGUACUUACAUAUCAUCUUCACACUACACAAAUAUUCCUUUGAGUAAGGGCAUAUCCCUGAUAUUAAUGCAGGUUAGCAUAUGGAAAAUACUUCUCCCCCCAUCAUCAUUUUGAAAGGGCUGUCAACUCAAAAUGUAUAUUAUCGAAAGUAAUUAAGCUAAAGAAUCUACAAAAUGCAAAGCUAAGUAUUGAAGGCUUUGGAUAAAUAAAGAACAAUUUUAAUAUAAACAGAUUACUGAAGUUUCUCAUUUAUUUUAAACUUAUUUACAUAAUAUUCAAUACUCUCAUAUUCCAUUAUGAUAUAAUCUUAUUUGAAAUAUAUAUGAAAUAAUAUAUUGAUUAUUUCAUAUAUAUUUGAAUUAAUUGAAUAUUGAUUUGAAAACAUCAUUGUAAAUAACAGUAAUCACAGAUUAAAAUAUAUUUGACAACAUAUCAGCAUCUUUUAAUGAUUGACAGAAGUUACUAAAUAUUUUUAUCUUCCUUCUUAGAAGCAUGCAUCACACCCAUACUGUGGAAACAAGAGAAUUUGGAAAUAAAGAAGCUGAAAACUUCAGACAUUUCUUUACUCACAGUCAAAUAUGAGACUUCUUAAUUACCAGAUUACUAUGCAGAGUGUUAUACCACAAGAAAAAGACAAAUAAAAAAAAAAAAUAACCGAGAUUAUGUCAGAUAAUCCUAGAUAAAAAUUUGAGUUGGAUGAUGAAUUAUGUUUCACCAAAUUAUAUAUACUAAAAAUAUUUUUGAAAAAUUUGAUGUGCACUUCCCCAGUAGAACUGAGACCUUCAAACUAUUGAUUUGAUGUUCACUAUUAUACUGAAUAUACUGAAACAUGGCAGGAACAUCUUAAUUCUUUCAUAAUAUUCAUGCUGACUUUAGGUAUGAUCAAUGAAUCAAAUUGAUCUUAUUGUAAUAGUCACAAUCCAAAUAUAUUAAAAGAAUAUAGAAUUAAGAAAUUUCAACUUAAGGAAAGCUAUUGAAUUCUUCCAAAAUUAGGGAAAAGGAAUCCUAAUCAGCAUAUGCAUGUACAGUGGCUAGAAAUGGCAUUACAAAUUAGAGUAAUAAAACAGCAAAUGAUUUUGCAACAAAUAUUGCACAGAAGGGUUUUUGCUAUAUGCAUUCCCACAUUAUAUAUUUUGGCUACCAACACACAAAAUAUGCAUCUAGUACACAUGAUCAGUAUACUUGUCAAAUACUGGUACAGGUAGAAUUUCAUUAUUGGUCAUACAGAUAUAGUCCUGAUGCACUAACUGUGCAAUUUAGCACUAUUUUUGAGAGGAAAUGCCUCGUGGGGUGGUCUGAGGGUCUCCCACUCAUCUUGUAUCACCACCACCUUUUCAGAGGACUUUUGAUUCACCGUGUAUUUUAAGUGCCUCCUUCCUGCACAGACACUAUUUGUUUACAAAGCAUUUUUUUUUUUUUUUGUGUGUGUGUGUGUGUGAGUGUGUAGAAUGGCCCUUGGUACAGCUAUACAUGCAUAUAGAGUAGAAAUUCUCUUCAUGAUAAUACCUAUUGCAAAACUGUUCAGUUUCAUUCCUGAGUAAGUUCAUCCCAUAUGCAUACAAGAUAAACAAAGACCUCUGUACAUAUCAAACGACAUUAAA
rnacentral:lncRNA from 1 species